rnacentral:rRNA from 1 species
GAUGAACGCUGGCGGCGUGCCUAACACAUGCAAGUCGAACGAGGUCCAUGCAGUGGCAACACUGCGGAAGACCUAGUGGCGAACGGGUGAGUAACACGUGAGGAACCUGCCCCGAAGACCGGGAUAACUCUCCGAAAGGAGCGCUAAUACCGGAUGCCCCCACCGAACCGCAUGGUUUGGUGAGGAAAUGGAUUCCGCUUCGGGAGGGCCUCGCGGCCUAUCAGCUAGUUGGUGGGGUAACGGCCCACCAAGGCAUCGACGGGUAGCUGGUCUGAGAGGACGAUCAGCCACACUGGGACUGAGACACGGCCCAGACUCCUACGGGAGGCAGCAGUGGGGAAUCUUGCGCAAUGGGCGAAAGCCUGACGCAGCAACGCCGCGUGGGGGAUGAAGGCUUUCGGGUUGUAAACCCCUUUCAGCAGGGACGAAUCAAGACGGUACCUGCAGAAGAAGCCCCGGCUAACUACGUG